AUCACCUCCAUGAGCAAGCUCUCUCUCUCUCUCUCUUGGAUCUCGAAAGACUGAAAGAAGGCAUAGAACCCUUCUCUCAAUCUCUCUCUCGAAUUAGGGAAAUCGAUUGCUUCUGUGAACCAAGACAACAUCCCAGAGGCGACCAGCACAGUUCUGUCAAAGAAAUCUCGGGCACUGGCAAAAAUCACUGAUUCACAGUCGGUUCUCAAAAGAUUUGGAGAUUUGGCAUGGUUAUUCGAGUGAGUAUCGGUCUGUUCGAGCGGAAUUGUACGUGCUGAAUUUCGAUUCAACUCAGAUGCUUUCUCUUCUCUGUUCUCAGAAAGUUUGCGUCUUGGGUCAGUUCCCAACCUCUUUUUGCUUGAUUUUUGUUUUGGGCUUCUUCAUUUUACUGUUAGAUUCAAUUUUAUGUUGAGGUUUUCAGUUAUGAUUUGCUAGAAAUUAUCUCUGAUUUAAUUCAUUGUGGACUGAAAGCUUUAGCCAUUGCUUGUGUGAGAUUUGCUUUCUUGCAUUUUGCUGUUAAUGCAAAGUGAAUUUUGUUAAUGCAAAUUAUCUGUGAUUCCGUAUGGUUUGCCUUUUUAUUUUUGAUGAAAGAUGGUGUUUGUGAAUAGGGAUAUGGUUUUACUUGAUCAGUGAUGUAGAGAGAAUAAACUCAUUUGGUGAAAUGCGCAAGUAAAUCACCAAUAAGGGUUCUGUGUGAAGUGGUCAGGCUCAUGGUUUGAGCCCUGUAAUCUAGGCUUAUUAAGGUGACUAAAAUGUGUGUUGUCUCAUUCGUUUAAAUGGAUAUGAAUAUGACCGCAUUGUCUACUUGGGAGUAAUUGGUUAUUUACUAUUCUUUUGGCAUUAGAGUCAACUGCUUUGGUUGUUUUGUUCAGUGAUUACUUCUCCUUAUCAUGGUUUACUUAUGAUUUGCUUUUAACAAAUAAUAGUAAUAAUAAUGGUAACAAAUGUAUGUAUGUCUUUACUGGCAAACAUUUAUGCACAUAUUAGCUGUGUAUGUCUUUGUGGAGGAUUGCUUCAGGACCUUAACAAGAUAGAAUUGCACGUUUCAGAGAAUGUCCCCAUGAAGGUAUUUUCUUAUAGGCAUGAAUUUGGGCUCUGCUGGUUUGUCAUAUAAUUGCAGAUGCUUAAUGCUUUAUCAAUGUUCUGAUAUUGCUUCACUUUGCUACUAUUUGGUUGGUUUUGGGUAUUGUAAUGAAUUCAGAAUUCUUGGUUAGUUGCUUCUAUUAUACAGGUACAAGGAAAUUAUCAUUGUUCGAUCGUUGUUUUUGUGUGUGUGUGUGUGAAUGUUUGUUGAUUUUCAUUCCUUUGGAUAUGUAUACAUGUAUUUGUGAGGAAUGCAAUAACCUAUGGACUACAAGUAACUUCAGUCCCUUGGCUGGGUGUUAAGAAGAUUCAAGUUCUAUAAUCUUGGUAUGAGUUGGUAAAUGCAGGUGAUGUCAAUCUGGUAUCACUUAUUAUAUUUUCUUCAUAUAUUUGAUUAUAUGUUGGUCACUGAAGAGUCAUGCAAUAUAUAUUUGAAGACUCCUGCCAUCAUUUUUGUCAAAAAGUACAACAUGCCUUUCAUGAUUUGAAUUAUGCCAAGCAAACCAUGACUUAAUAAUCAAUUAUAUAGGCUUGAAAGCUUAUCUUGUAGCACAUAUAAUCAAUUAUGUAUUUUGAAGGGCCAUGACUUGCAGCACGUUUUAAGAAGCCCUCACAUGAUUAAAGCUAUUUGUUCUUUGGCAAAGCAAUUGUUAAUUGAACCUUGUUGCUGCACUUUGUAUUUGUCUUCUAACUAAACUUGUUAGCACUCCAAAGAUUAAUUGAUUAAACAUGCCAUCUUUUUUUGUCUGCUAGCUUGUGGUGUACAAAGCUUAAUUCUUUAUGUGUCUAGCAACUGCAAGAUUGAAUUAAUUAUAGUCGCCACCGUUCGAUUUUUGCAAGUUCCAGAUUGAGGCUUACUUAACGUAGCCGUCAUUUGUUAUUAACCAUGUCUGGCACUGCUGCAGCACAUCACCGCCUCAAAAUGGCUGAACAAAUUAAUUAAUCCUGUCACUUUUGAUUGUCAGCACUGCUUCACCACCGCACACUGCACUUGCUAACUGUUCUCUUUCUUUAUUUGUGAACAUUAAUUUAGCCUUUUCAUUUCAGGCGUCAUUGUGUCUCCACCGCCAAGCCCUGCUGCCAAUCUUUCAGAGGUUACAGAGAGGGAUUAAAAACAACUUUUAAAGGAAAAACGCGGGGACGUUUAUGCUUUGCUUUUGUAUCUACUGGCGGUUGGAAGUGGCCUUUUGAUUGGUGGAUUAGAGGCUUGAGAAGAGGAAGAUAUAUGCAUGUUUGACUUUGCUAUAAAUGCUGACUCUACCAAAGUGAUUUUGAGUAAGGCUAGCUAGAUUUUGUAGAACCAUUUUGAAGUAGAACGUUGUACAGUUGCAGGUGAACUAAACUGCAUAUAGUUAUUGCAAUGGUCUGUUUUGGGCUAGCCUUGAUGUAUGUUGGGGUGUUUUUGCCUAUUUUUGGAACUAUUAACAAUUCUGAUGUUGGACAGAAGUUAAUGCAAUGCCCCAUAUUCAAUUAAUUCGGAAUUUCAUGUUGUCAAAUGUGGAUUACAAGCAUUUUA